UCUCCAAUAGCUCAACAGAAUAUUGAGACUCCAGUCCUUACUCCAAUUCAGACGCAGCAGGAGACUCACGAGCUUAUGAAUGAGAUCAUUUCACCAAACAUUUCCGACACACAGCCAAAUACCCGAGCUCGCAGAAAUCUUUUAACAGAGCAAAAUAAGGAUGUAGAAAGCAGAGUUCAAAAUCCCUUUGAGAUCGGAGCAAAUGUGGAGAUUUCAUCACAAGAUGACAAUACUUGU